GCUAUACUUACUUUUCUGGGUCCCGAAAGUUCGACCGUUCUAACCUUCUGACGAGGAGACGCGUCCGAUCCCAAAGUGUCGAAGGCCUUCCCUUUGGAGAGGCCCCUCGAUGUGGAAAAUCAUGUCCCAAAGUGUUUUCUUGGAGUCCAGGAAUGUUCCACCUAUCGGUAUGGCAUGGCAAGAGCCACUCUCCUCGUUGAGCAUAUUCCCAAAGAGCCAACCGGAACCCUAGGGCCUUGGAGCUGGCUCCCAGCUCCUACUCCCCUAGGCUGACUUGCUCCCCAGGUGCCAGGCAGCAUGCAACCCAUUUGAGGGGCAAAGAGGCGAGGCGAGCCGGCGCGGGCAUUUAGCUCCGUGGUUCCGGCGCCGGCCUCGCAAGCGCAAGGGCCCGAGUUCGAGUCCCCGCGCGAAACAAGCCCGGGAAAAAAAAAAAAAAAAAAAAAAAAUGAAGGCGACCGUAAUUCUUCGUUUUUGGUUUUUCGGUUUCUGUUCUUUUGGGGUGUUUUUCCUUUUCUGCCGGGGAUCGACCU
rnacentral:lncRNA from 1 species